UAGGGAGGAAGAUAUGAGCAGUGCUCGUAUGAAAGACUUCUCCCAUAUAUAUAAAAACGGUUUCCUCGUAACUUCGUCGUAAUGUUACGAGGAAGUUACCAGACCCGUGUUUUCGUUUACGACGAAGUUACCAGGCCCGUGUUUUGGUUUACGACGAAGUUACCAGGCCCGUGUUUUUUCAUUUACGACAAAGUUACCAGACCCGUGUUUUUUCAUUUACGACGAAGUUACUAGGAAAUAGUAUUUUAUGUUACGACGAAUUUACAUGGAAAUAAUAUUUUAUGUUACGACGAAGUUACCAGGCCCGUGUUUUUAUUUACAAUGAAUUUACGAGGAAAGUAUGAAACCCCAAAAAUCAAAUCCCUAAACCCCAAAGUUAUCAUCUUUACCAUUAUCACUCAUUAAUACUUUCAUCCUCUUUAUCCAACUAAAACCCUUAACUUCAACAAAAUAAAAUUUUUUACCUUAAGAAAUAGAUAUUAUACAAGACAACUUAUAGUACACAUACAUUAAGUAUCUCACUUAAGCAAUAAAAAACAACAUUGGGUGCAAUAUUUUGUAAAGAUAAAAACAACAUUUGUUACAUAUAUUACAUCAUUCUGAAUCGUUUGAGUUCUCAUCAACAUCUGAACAGUCAUCGUCGUCACUACAAUCGAACUCGUCUUCACGUGCUUCAUCUGUCGCAUCUUCGGGAAGAUCUUCAUAUUGAUGGUUAUUUGGGUCGAUCAGAAGAUUUUCAUCAAGUUGUUGAUCAGGAACCUCAACUUCAUUAAUAGCAUCUUCUUCUUGCAAUGGUGGUUCUUCUCCAGCAACAAUUCGUCCACGAGGUAUAAUUUUGAUAGUAGCCAACCAAUUAAUCCCAGAACUUCGAAGGCGAGGGUAUGGAAGAAAGCUAACUUGUUCAGCCUGGAAAGCUAGGAUGAAAGGCUCGAAUUUGUUGUAUCUUCUCCCAUAGUUGACAUCCACAACACCAAUUGGUGUUGAGAUAUGGAGGAGGACUAUCUCUGACAACUGUUGUCCGGUUUCCUCCACGCGGCACCGUUUCCAGAGCUCCAUAAUAAUCAAUUUCUGCUAGGAUCUGUUGUCCGGUGAGAUAUGGAGGGGGACUAUCUCUGACAACUUUUUUGUAUCUAAACAAUGUCUUAUUUCUUCGGUACGGAUGGGAGAUGGGAAGAAAUCGACGAUGACAAUCAAACCAACAACUCUUUCUACCAUUCUUCAGUUGAAAAGCAUCUGUCGAUCCACGACAAAUUGGACAAGAUAAUCUUCCAUGAGUUGUCCACCCAGACAAUAUCCCAUAAGCAGGAAAGUCACUAAUCGUCCAACUCCGUAUCUCGUAGAUAUUGCAUCCAUUAGCCAUUUUUUUUAGUUGUAUUUUUCAGUUUGGUAGGUAAAGGUUUAACAAGUAUUUUACAACGCAAUGUAUUACUACGGAUUUACAACUUUUUUACAAGGAUUUUACAUCCACUUUACAAGGAAUUUAGUUAGGUAUAAAGCACACUUAAUACACGUUUCGACCAAGUAUUAACGGUAACCCGAUUCGUUGUAAAAUACUUGUUAAAUUACAACGCCAUUACGAGGAAAUAUAAGGAAAUGGGAUUCCUCGUAAAGUCCUUGUAACAUUACAGCGUCUUUACGAGGAAAGAUAAGGAAACAGGAUUCGUCGUAAAGUCCUUGUUACAUUACAAAGCGUUUACGUGGAAUUUAAUUUUUCACGUAAAAGCGUUGUAACUUUACAACGACUUUACGACGAAACAGUUUCGUUGUAAUAUUACAUCCGCUUUACGACGAAACUGCUUUUCGUUGUAACGUCGACGUAAUCUACUUGUAAAUUUACGAGGAAUUAUGUUCGUUGUAAAACUUCGUUGUAAAGCCAGUGUUUUCUUGUAGUGUUUACAUUAUAUCAAUCGGGCCUGGCCACAUUGAGAGUUGUGAGAGAAUAAGGGGUAGUGAAAUUAGGUACCAAUAAUUUCUGCCGCAAUCUCAUGGCUUCUCUUGGCCUUUGGAAGAAGGUCGCAACUCCGCUGCCCUCUGGCUGGAAGAUGGCUUGUACAACGGUGGCUGCGCCGUUUUCAUCUACCGUCGAGAACUCUGAUCCUAUCAAGGCAGAGAAGGUGGGGAAGAUGAAGGUAUUCCAGAAGCUGAAGUCACUUACGGUUGAGACAAUAGAUCUCAUCUUAAAGGAGGAAGAGAAGAAGGGCGUUUACGUCACUCAAACGGAUCUUGUCAGAUGGGCGAAACGUAUUGAUAAGAGGAACAACAGGCCUGAAAACUCUCGAGAUCUUUAGGUGGAUGGAUAAAAAGAAGAUGGUGUUUUCUCCCUCGGAACUUGAGCUUUAUGUGGAUCUUCUGGGCAAGGUUAAAGGAGCAGCAGCGGCUUCAGCCUACUUUGAAAAAGUAGAGCCAAAUUUCGAUGAGAUGGACGCUGAUGCCGAAAAUAGACCUGCUUAUUUGAAGGUCUUGCAUUGGUUCCGAGUUAAAGAACAGAAUCAGACUUCGGGGGGCAAAACCACAUGUUCUUAAGUUCCCUAAAGUUGAUGAUCCUCAAUGGGCUAAGAAUUCUACUCCUACUACUCCUGCUCAAAAGAGAAAUCUUUUUUCCAAGCUCAAAUCCUCUGAAACCUGUUGUGCCCACCUUUUGACAGAGAUGGAGGACCAAGGGUUUUGCAUCACCAAAGCAGAUCUAAACCGCUGGAUAAAACUCCUCCAAAAACAAGGACAAACACAGAAAGCUCUACAGAUCGACACGUUUAAGAACUGGAAAUACGUUUCCUUUUAUCAUCAACUGCGUGGAACGUUUAACCAUAGCUCUGUUUCUUGGGAGCCAAGUAACAAUAUCCCUGACGUAACUCAAGUGGCGACAACAGGCUUUUUGCAUGGCUAUGCAAAUUCUACGUAGGUCAAUAAGUUGUUUUUAAUGCUUUGUUUAAGGAUUGCAUUAGUCUUGUCUCAAUACUACAACAAUGGUUUGAUCAGCUGAUCACACUGGUCAACAACAGAUUCUCUUACGUGGUGUCAUACCACUGAUGACAUUUACUCAGUAAAAGACUCAUAAAAUCAUCACUAUAUAUUCACUUUAAAAUCAUCACCCUUUUUUGUGUUUUUGGAGUGUUCUAAAGGGAUGCGUUUAGAAUUUGUAUGUCGUUUGUAAGGUAAACAAAGGAGGAUAAAAAAAAAAAAGUUAAGUCACUUCUUGAGUUAAUUGAUGAUAGU